UGGGGAAUAUUGGACAAUGGGCGCAAGCCUGAUCCAGCCAUGCCGCGUGCAGGAUGACGGUCCUAUGGAUUGUAAACUGCUUUUGUACAGGAAGAAACAGUUCUACGUGUAGAACCUUGACGGUACUGUAAGAAUAAGGAUCGGCUAACUCCGUGCCAGCAGCCGCGGUAAUACGGAGGAUCCAAGCGUUAUCCGGAAUCAUUGGGUUUAAAGGGUCCGUAGGCGGUUAGAUAAGUCAGUGGUGAAAGCCCAUCGCUCAACGGUGGAACGGCCAUUGAUACUGUCUGACUUGAAUUAUUAGGAAGUAACUAGAAUAUGUAGUGUAGCGGUGAAAUGCUUAGAGAUUACAUGGAAUACCAAUUGCGAAGGCAGGUUACUACUAAUGGAUUGACACUGAGGUGCGAAAGCGUGGGGAGCAAACAGGAUUAGAUACCCUAGUAGUCCCUGAGCGGGCUGGCAAGGCGCAU
rnacentral:rRNA from 1 species